rnacentral:rRNA from 1 species
GACGAACCGAGCGAACGUUGUUCGGAAUCACUGGGCUUAAAGGGCGCGUAGGCGGGCGGUCAAGUCGAGGGUGAAAGCCCCCAGCUCAACUGGGGAAGUGCCUCCGAUACUGGCCGUCUCGAGGGGGAUAGGGGCGUUCGGAACUUCCGGUGGAGCGGUGAAAUGCGUAGAUAUCGGAAGGAACAUCGGUGGCGAAAGCGGCGCGCUGGAUCCCUUCUGACGCUGAGGCGCGAAAGCCAGGGGAGCGAACGGG